GACAGAGGUCCCAAGCGUUAGGCGGAAUCACUGGGCUUAAAGCGUGUGUAGGCGGACUUGUAAGUACCUUGUGAAAUCCCACGGCUCAACCGUGGAGCUGCUGGGUAUACUGCGAGUCUUGAGCCACCUAGGGGCGAGCGGAACAAGUGGUGGAGCGGUGAAAUGCGUAGAUAUCACUUGGAACGCCAAUGGUGAAAACAGCUCGCUGGGGGUGUGCUGACGCUGAGACACGAAAGCCAGGGGAGCAAACGGG
rnacentral:rRNA from 1 species